rnacentral:rRNA from 1 species
UACGUAGGAUGCAAGCGUUGUCCGGAAUUAUUGGGCGUAAAGAGCGCGCAGGCGGUAACUCAAGUCAGAUGUGAAAUAUCCGGGCUUAACCCGGAGGGGUCAUUUGAAACUGAGUAACUAGAGUACAGCAGAGGAUAGCGGAAUUCCCGGUGUAGUGGUGAAAUUCGUAGAUAUUGGGAAGAACACCGGUGGCGAAGGCGGCUCACUGGCUCGUAUCUGACGCUCAGGCGCGACAGCGUGGGGAUCAAACAGG